UACGUAGGCAGCAAGCGUUGUUCGGAAUUACUGGGCGUAAAGAGUGUGUAGGCGGUGCUCUAAGUCUGUUGUGAAAUCUCCCGGCUUAACUGGGAGGGUGCGGCGGAAACUGGAGUGCUCGAGUGUGGGAGAGGUAAGCGGAAUUCCUGGUGUAGCGGUGAAAUGCGUAGAUAUCGGGAGGAACACCAGUGGCGAAGGCGGUUGCCUGGAGCUUUGCUGACGCUGAUGCGCGAAAGCGUGGGGAGCGAUCCGG
rnacentral:rRNA from 1 species